AACUAACGCUGGCGGCGUGCCUAACACAUGCAAGUCGAACGAGAAAGUUGGCUUCGGCCGAUGAGUAAAGUGGCGCACGGGUGAGUAACGCGUGGAUAAUCUGCCCUUUAGUUUGGAAUAACGUACCGAAAGGUGCGCUAAUACCGGAUAAUACUGAAUGACUACUGUCGUUUAGUCAAAGAAGGCUUCUGUUUACAUGCUUUUGCUGAAGGCUGAGUCCGCGUACAAUUAGCUAGUUGGUAGGGUAAUGGCCUACCAGGGCGACGAUGGUUAGCUGGUCUGAGAGGAUGAUCAGCCACACUGGAACUGAGACACGGUCCAGACUCCUACGGGAGGCAGCAGUGAGGAAUAUUGCGCAAUGGGGGCAACCCUGACGCAGCAACGCCGCGUGAGUGAGGAAGGUUUUCGGACCGUAAAGCUCUGUCGAGCGGGAAGAAAUGCAUGGUGGCUAAUAUCCAUCAUGCUUGACGGUACCGCUAAAGGAAGCACCGGCUAACUCCGUGCCAGCAGCCGCCGUAAAAC
rnacentral:rRNA from 1 species